rnacentral:rRNA from 1 species
UACGAAGGGGGCGAGCGUUGUUCGGAUUUACUGGGCGUAAAGGGCGCGCAGGCGGCUAUCCAAGUCAGGCGUGAAAGCCCCGGGCUUAACCUGGGAGGUGCGUCUGGGACUGGGUGGCUAGAGUUCGGGAGAGGAGAGUGGAAUUCCCAGUGUAGAGGUGAAAUUCGUAGAUAUUCGCCAGAACACCAGUGGCGAAGGCGGCUCACUGGCCCGAUACUGACGCUGAGGUGCGAAAGCGUGGGGAGCAAACAGG